UGUGUGUGUGUGUGUGUGUGUGUGUGUGUGCGCGCACACACACACACACACACAAAGCAUAUAUA